CCUACGGGGGGCAGCAGCAAGGAAUUUUCGGCAAUGGGCGCAAGCCUGACCGAGCAACGCCGCGUGCGGGACGACGGCCUUCGGGUUGUAAACCGCUUUUUGGGGGGAUGAUUUGGACAGUACCCCCAGAAUCAGCCCCGGCUAACUCUGUGCCAGCAGCCGCGGUAAUACAGAGGGGGCAAGCGUUGUCCGGACUAACUGGGCGUAAAGCGCCCGCAGGUGGUGACGCAAGUGGUGUGUGAACCCUGGCGGCUUAACCGCCAGACGCCAUGCCAGACUGCGCCACUCGAGCCGUGCAGAGGUGGGUGGAAUUGCCGGUGUAGUGGUGAAAUGCGUAGAGAUCGGCAGGAACACCAAGGGGGAAGCCAGCCCACUGGGCACGUGCUGACACUGAGGGGCGACAGCGUGGGGAGCGAACCGGAUUAGAUACCCUUGUAGUC
rnacentral:rRNA from 1 species